rnacentral:rRNA from 1 species
AUUUAAGCUACUGAAGGCAUGCGGUGAAUGCCUAGGGACAAGUUGCCGAAGAAGGACGCGCAAGCGGCGAAACGCCGCGGGGAGCUGCACGAAAGCGAUGAUCCGCGGAUAUCCGAAUGGGGAAACCCGGCGAGAGUCAUGUCUCGUCACCCACGCCUGAACACAUAGGGCGUGAGGAGGGCACCAGGUGAACUGAAACAUCUAAGUAGCCUGUGGAAAAGAAAUCGAAGAGACUCCGUAAGUAGCGGCGAGCGAACACGGACCAGCCCAAACCAGCCGGCAUGCCGGCUGGGGUUGUAGGGCCUCCACAACCUCCCUUUCACUCUUGGCGUUGGCGAAAGCCAGCAGCCAUGGAGUGAGAGGCGGUUGAAAAGAAGACUAGGUAAGGUUUAGAAGAAGAGAGUUGGAAAGCUCCGCCAUAGAGGGUGAUAGCCCCGUAUUAUAAAGAUCUUCCAGAUUCAGGAGGUACCUGAGUAGCGCGGAGCACGAGGAAUUCCGCGUGAACCCGCCCGGACCACCGGGUAAGGCUAAGUACAACUUGUCACCGAUAGUGCAUCCAG